GAUGAAGAACGUAGCAAAAUGCGAUAAGUAAUGUGAAUUGCAGAAUUCAGUGAAUCAUCGAAUCUUUGAACGCACAUUGCGCCCGCUGGUAUUCCGGCGGGCAUGCCUGUUCGAGCGUCAUUUCAACCCUCAAACCCCCGGGUUUGGUGUUGGGGAUCGGCUCUGCCUCACGGCGGCGCCGCCCCCGAAAUACAUUGGCGGUCUCGCUGCAGCCUCCAUUGCGUAGUAGCUAACACCUCGCAACUGGAACGCGGCGCGGCCAUGCCGUAAAACCCCAACUUCUGAAUGUUGACCUCGGAUCAGGUAGGAAUACCCGCUGAACUUAAGCAUAUCAAUAGCGGAGGA
rnacentral:misc_RNA from 1 species